AGAGUAUUUCCCAGCACGCCCCGCGAAUUCUCAGUAUUUAAGCCUUUGGGGGGCGGCGGAUGCUUCCCUUUCAGAGACGCCUGCAGGUUGUGAGGUCUCGUUUCUCAUCAUUCUGUGACCCGACUUUACAGGUGCUGAGAACAAUCGGCUGUGGAGUCUAUAUUUAUUGUCGCACAUUCGCAAGUAACAACAGACUCUGGACAUCCUUUACAGACAUGAAAUAACCUUGUCAAGAAUGUUGUAGGGCCUGGCCUCUUUCCAGCUAACAGACCCAUUCAAUUAGGUCUCAAGCUCUUCGUCCAGCAGUGCACUGGGCUGUGGAAGGCCGCUGUCCUAGGGAUGAGGAGGAUCUUUGAACAACCAUUCUGUCCAGCCUCAGAGUAACAUUAUGAGCUUGGCUUGGAAGAAAGACUUGCUGAAAUGGCCUAGCAGGUGAUAGCCUGAAGGUUGCAGGAGUUGCAGGUGGCAUCAGAAGCAAGAAAGCUCAAAUUGACUUGGAACCUCAAGCGUUUUCAUCCAGUACUGACUGGCUGAAACUCUGCCUGCAGCAACGGUUGCUCCCAGUCUGUCAUGAGGCCUUUAGUUCACUUCUGCAAGACUGCUUCAGGAGCCCUGGCAACAGACAAGCAAGAACGUGGCACACAGGUCUCCUGGAUGUACACAAUGGCUGAAAGCGGUUAAAAACUGGGACGUAUCAACCCAUUUCUGCUACUGUGGCUGUUGUGGCUGAACAAGCCCUAACUGACCUUCCUCGUUUGGAAGAAUGUAAUAUGAGCAAGUGGUUUAAUCGGAUACAGUCUCAAUGCAAAAACCUCACUUUACAUAAUUAAACCGUAUCAACCUUG